UUCAUUUCUUUGAUGGUGGUUCUUAGUGCGGUGUUCAUGUAUACUUAUUUGUGCUAACUGGUUACUGAAAGUAUGUAAACAUAUUUUGCUCUUUGAAUACGGAAUUACUGUUAACCGAGUUGUCUAUUACUGGAGGAAGAAUCUUGAUCUUUUUGGUGUUGCUUUAUUAUGUGUUUGAGUUAGAUAGUCGAUUCGAUUUUGGAUCCAUCAUAGAUUAGUAAGGGGCCAUCAGAUGCAGUUGACUUGGCCGUGACUGAGCUAAAUGUUGCUGUUUG
rnacentral:misc_RNA from 1 species